rnacentral:piRNA from 1 species
UNGUUGCCUGGGAAACUCUGUGUGGAAG